rnacentral:lncRNA from 1 species
GACGGCGGUUCGAAAUUACUUUCGAUGGCGGAAAUCCGUCAUCUAAACUAUCCCGCCCAAAAUUUCGAAUGGCCCCCAAUAUUCAGCCCGAUUACCCGAUUAAAUUGACUUAACAUGGCGGAUGUCCGCCAUGUUAAGUAUUCGGGCACUCGGGCAGAAAAAACCCGCUCAAAUUUCGAUUGGACGGACUUUCACUUUAGUGCUGGCGGCACUUAAGUGUACUCCGCCAUGUAAGUUUUGGGGUUUAUUUAAAACCCUAAAUCCAGACAGAACGCGUUCUGUUCUAAUUUUCUCCACUGCCACCGCCGCUGCUCUCCGUUGCGUCCGUCGCUGCCUCCAUUCUCGCCGUCGACCGCUCGCUUGCUCUCGCCUCUGGUAGACGCCUCGUCCUUACUGUGGUCUAAUCGCCGGUCCGUUUUGGUUAGUUUUAGUUAGUUUUUGUGAUUUUGGUGAUUUUUGAUUUCAAUGAAAUGUUUAUCUAUGUGAAGAAAUAAAAUGG